rnacentral:rRNA from 1 species
UUUCCGGUUGAUCCUGCCGCCGGCCACCGCUAUCAAGUUCCGACUAAGCCAUGCGAGUCAAGGUAUCGUAAGAUGCCGGCAAACUGCUCAGUAACACGUGGAUAAUCUAACCUUGAGUAAGGGAUAACCUCGGGAAACUGAGGAUAAUACCUUAUAAUUGCUUAAAACUGGAAUGUUUAAGCAAUAAAAGUUCCGACGCUCAAGGAUGAGUCUGCGACCUAUCAGGUAGUAGGUGGUGUAAUGGACCACCUAGCCUCAGACGGGUACGGGCCCUGGGAGGGGUAGCCCGGAGAUGGACUCUGAGACAUCAGUCCAGGCCCUACGGGGCGCAGCAGGCGCGAACACUGUGCAAUGCGCGAAAGCGCGACACGGGGAGCUUGAGUGUCUUGGCAUAGCCAAGACUUUUCUCAUUCCUAAAAAGCAUGAGGAAUAAGUGCUGGGUAAGACGGGUGCCAGCCGCCGCGGUAACACCCGCAGCACAAGUGGUGGUCACUUUUAUUGAGCCUAAAGCGUUCGUAGCCGGUUUUGUAAAUCUUUAGAUAAAGCCUGAAGCUUAACUCCAGAAAGUCUAAAGAGACUGCAAGACUUGAGAUCGGGUGAGGUUAAACGUACUUUCGGGGUAGGGGUAAAAUCCUGUAAUCCUGGAAGGACGACCAGUGGCGAAAGCGUUUAACUAGAACGAAUCUGACGGUAAGGAACGAAGGCUAGGGUAGCAAACCGGAUUAGAUACCCGGGUAGUCCUAGCUGUAAACAUUGCCCAUUUGAUGUUGCUUUUCCGUUGAGGGAAGGCAGUGUCGGAGCGAAGGUGUUAAAUGGGCCGCUUGGGAAGUAUGGUCGCAAGACUGAAACUUAAAGGAAUUGGCGGGGGAGCACCGCAACGGGAGGAAUGUGCGGUUUAAUUGGAUUCAACGCCGGA